rnacentral:rRNA from 1 species
UACGAAGGGGGCUAGCGUUGUUCGGAAUUACUGGGCGUAAAGCGCGCGCAGGCGGUCUUCCAAGUCAGGGGUGAAAUCCUGGAGCUCAACUCCAGAACUGCCUUUGAUACUGAAGAUCUUGAGUCCGGGAGAGGUGAGUGGAACUGCGAGUGUAGAGGUGAAAUUCGUAGAUAUUCGCAAGAACACCAGUGGCGAAGGCGGCUCACUGGGCCCGGUACUGACGCUGAGGCGCGAAAGCUAGGGGAGCAAACGGGG